rnacentral:rRNA from 1 species
UACGUAGGACCCAAGCGUUAUUCGGAUUGAUUGGGCGUAAAGAGUUGCGUAGGUGGUUUGUUAAGCGAAUAGUGAAAUCUUGUGGCUCAACCAUAAGGCUAUUAUUCGAACUGGCAAACUCGAGAGUGGAAGAGGUAUCUGGAAUUUCUAAUGUAGGGGUAAUAUCCGUAGAUAUUAGAAGGAACACCAAUGGCGUAGGCAGGAUACUGGUCCAUUUCUGACACUAAGGCACGAAAGCGUGGGGAGCGAACCGG